CGACCACACCUCCAGGUGUGGCUAAUGGAAACGCUUUGAUCUGGCGACUGUGUUUACAGCCUGUCUCCUCGAGUUUUUUUUUGGGGGGGGGGAGAUACUCACUUGUUUUUAGAGAGAAGCUUCUUCAGCAGGUUUCUGCCGCAGAGGACGGCAGUGUAAUGCAGAGCCCGACAGCUGGGGCACCUCAGCAGAAGCAGGCCUCUGCCGGGGCAACUUAAAGCGGGAGGCCGCAGCCUCCACCACGCUCCCGCCCCUGCUGUUCCGUGAGACGGAGCCGCUCGGCUGGUGGCAACGGCUGCAACGGCUGCAACGGCUGCGGCUCCAUUUCGAACACCCCACAUUGAGAGCUCGGGGUUCUUUGCCCCAGAGUUCCAGGCCGACCGUCGGGUUAAACCGUUAAAGCAACGGCUCGCUCUUUGUCCAGGCCCUCGCUCCAGGCCUCAGCAAAACCACUCCUAAGAAGAAUCUACUUAUAUAGCGCCCCCAGUGGACAUGAGGCGCUUUUUGUUUCACGGAACGUCUGCAAACCCAGCCCCAAACGUCUGGAGACAAACGCAUCACACGGUGUGAAUUGUAGGCGCGCAGUCCUUUUUUACGAAAAUGUUUUGCUUUUACAGAAAUGCUAUAUUUUAAUGCGUGUCUGUUUGGUCUGUGAGCUGUCCAAAGAACUCCUGUUAGGAGAAAGUAUGAAACUUCUCCAUCUUCUGCUACCAGUUGUAUAAUCAAGUUGAUUCCUAUAUUGACCAUUUGGUGAUGUCCACAUGAACAGUCGUCUUUUCGAUUGCUCAAAAAAUGUGUUUGCAAGAAACAAAUUAUUGGCUCACAGAAUUCAGACAUGCCUAUCAGUAGUAGCCAGAGUGAUGGAGGAGAGCCGCAGCCCUCCUGACACUAGGGGCUCAUCUACGUGGGAGCAUUUCUUCCAUUUACCUUUGUAAUAGAUUUGCACCAUCUGCAGUUCCUGCUCAAAGUAAUCUUGUAUCAAGUUGGGAUAUGCAAGCAAGAAACCUGCUCUACUGCACCGGCUAGUUUCUUGUGUUAAACUAGCCUGUGAGGUAAUGGCUUAUUGAGUGGUAGAUAUGCAUAUACAGAGGGAUGUGGCCAGGAGAGAACCUGUGGAGCCAAGGAGAGGCUUGCAUUUUUAGUUUCGUCUUGUGGAUGAAGCUGGAAAGACUCAGAGAGGCCUGCUCCCUGCACGAUGGCUUCAGGAUGCCUCCUAUAAGCUUGAUAGCAAAGCAAGAUCUAUUGGACUGCUAAUACUUUAAACCCCCUCCAUCUUAUGCUCAGGCUGUGAAUGUGCAUCAAUAAACCACAUAUUAUAAAGACACCAUAGUCUCUGCUGACCUUCUUGCCAAGGAAACCAAACCAUGGGUAAGCAGAAGAACUUCUGGAAGUCUUGCACCACUCAGAGAUUGGGGUGGCACAUAACAAUAUUUAUCUAAUUUCUACUAAAUAACAGAUAAAAACAGCAAUCACUAAAAGCAGAAUGCAGCAGCAGCUCAUUAAAUCACAUUAACCAAAUGGAUAACCCACUGUAGGCUGAAAAAUAAAAGUGUUACACUUUCAAAAAAGCAGGACAGAGGAAUAUCUUCUGGUAUAUGGUUCCACAAUUAAGAAAUCAAACUGGGUAAGGUCUGGCUCCUAACCACAGAUGUCCUAACCUUGCAAAGAGGGCCCUGGAUUUGGGAGCAGGGCCCAAUCUGCUGACCACAGUUGACCCAGGAAUUAAUAUAGAUAAAAGUAAUCUCAUAAUUUGCACAAACCAAUGCAGAUUAAGUUCCACAUAAUCUCAAAUAUGUCUGCAACAAUUUAUACAAGCUGCAAAAGAAAAUUAUUUUACCUUCCACUAGUCUUCUUGCAGAUGCUAGCAUUAAGGCCAUGCCUAUGUCUGCUGUAGAGUCAGAAACAGCAUGUGGAGUGUUGGUUACUUUUACUCCAAAGCUAGAGAUCAUUUUCAAAUCAAAAUGAUUCACUCCCACCCCUGAAUUUCCAACCACUUUUAAACUGGGCAGGCUUUCAAGAAGCUCUCGGUCAAUGAGAGGUCUGCAGUCAAAUACAAAAAUAGACUUGAUCUUGUUACAAAGUUCUUCCUUGCUUCUGUGAAACUCUUUCAUGGUGAUGAGAUUAAAGCGUUUCUUAAGGAACUCCACAUGGCUUUCCAGUACACCAAAUGCACCUCCAAUUUCAAAGAUCAAAACACCAGGCAGUUCUUUGUCUCCCAUGAUCUGAAGAGAAAAAAAAAGAGAGGAAUGAUGAACAAUGUUCAACUGAAAGCAGAAAGCAAGUGUUAGGGAUAAAUUGAAACCCCCAGUGCCUGUAAAACUAUAAUUCACUUGUCUUACCUAAACCAGCUUGGGCUUCAUGGGAAAUAGAACCAAAGUGGCCUUUAUAUGACUCUUGAUAUAAAAUGUCGGUUUAUUUCCUGGUGACCUGACCCUUACCUACAUUCCAGUGGCUCGCAUAAUAAAAGCCGGUUUAAGCUGGAAACUUCCCUACUAUGCAUUUCUGUAUCACAUUUAUGCUUAUGGCCUUGCUUAUUGUUACAAACGCGCCUUGCAUAGAAAUGUCAAAUGCUAUUCCAAUGCCCCUCAUAUCCUUGACUUGUAAUACUCCUUUGAUAUGUAAGCAGAGUAAUAUUAUGUCUGUCUCCAGUUUAGGGGGCGCCCGGUUGCAGCUGGGCCUCCCCUCAAUAGUUGCCUUUGUCUGUUCCUGCAUAGUGCUUAUCUCAAGGACAUGCGAAAUAUGCAGACAUAGAGUCUAAGAGAUAGUCUUGAUGUUUCUACUUUGUCCUUCCCCCUGUACCCUUUACCUCCUUACAUAUGCCCCAAAGCUAUGACAGUUGGCAAUUGCUUCUUUGUAUCUUAUGACGUGAACCCGAUAUUGUAAACUUCGGGGU